rnacentral:lncRNA from 1 species
GGGGGGUNCAGCUUGAGAUAGCAUGCUCCGGUCCAAUCCUCCUUUCUUGGUUUGCAGGCAUGGAGUGUAGGUGCAAAUAACAUUGUGCGUGGUGGCAAGAGAAGAGAAUGCGGCCCAAUAAGCCCAAGACCCUUUGCUCCAAAUCAGAACAGUAGGGGUUCCAGCGUAUGAAAAUUGGGGUGCUUUUGGUAGUUGCUGGUCAGGCCCAAGACCCUUUUUUUUUUUGUUUGCAGAAACAGGAUGGGCCAUAGCCCAACUGGAAAGGUGGUGUAACAGUGAGAUUUAGGGGUGGGGUGCCACUGGAUAUUUUGUUGAGAUGGCCCAAGGCCUCUUUUAUUGUUUGCCAGAAAGGGAAUGGAGGUGCGAAUAGCAAACGAGGGGUGCAAGGAAGAAACUCCAGCCACUAGCCAGGCCCAAGGCCAUUUAACCCUAACAGAAACUGAUAGGGGUUCCUUCAAUUUCAUUCCAUUUCAUCACCUAGGGCUUCUUUCCCUCUGAACGAAAGAAGCCAGAGACCUCACCCCCACUGCUCACGGCCAAGACUUAGCUUCCGGCCACCGCGAACUACGGUCCAUAGCGUCGCCGACCACGACCCUCGUCGCUUGAGCCACCAAUUCGAGGCCGUCGUCCUCCGUCGAGCUGUCCGCCACUAGAUGCAACCCAAAACCUGUCAGUGUCGACGGCCGCUGCCACAGACUCCGUCAGACGCCGCGCCAAUCUCUCAUCCUCCCCUUUUCUGCGAGAACAGCCACUCACCGAGCUAACGACGUCUCACCGGAAACAAAACCCAGGGGAACAGUUUCCCUCGUCAAACUCUGAUACGGCGUGGUUCGAAAGCGAGAGUCUCCUUUUCCUCUCCCUCUCUUAUUCGAAAUCCAAAUCAACGCCACCAGCAAAAACAGACAAUGCCGCCGAAUCUCACCCUGUUUUUGUGCAUUGAUUGAGUUUGGGUUUUUUUUUGGAUUUUUGGUUAUGACAAUGUGUUUCAAGAAAAUGGGUAUUGGUCUCUCUUUUUGGUAGUGUUGCUUAUUGAAGGUUGAAGUUGGAGUUGGAGGUAAGAAUGGGAUUCUGUUUUGUGUGAUCUGCGUGAGUUUCUGCUGUUAUAAACGAAAGGUGAGGGAGGAGCUUCUGGUUGUAUGCGCUGGUUGCAAGAGUAGGAGGUGAUGGAGGAAAUUGGUUCCAAAAAGGGUGACACUGUUGAGUUGAUAAGAUGUAAUAUGUGAGUGAGAGGUUGAUGAUGGAUGAUGGAAGAAUCGGUGGGAGAAUCCCAUUUUUUUUAUGCUNGAGAAAACAGUUUUGGAGAAAGUGAUUCUGUUGAGUGAGUAGUGAUUUUGAUUGUGAGAAUUUGGUUUUGUGAGUGAACCCGNUAGGGAUAGGCCAUGAAGCUUGGGAUUGGAAGAUGAAUUUGUCGAAGAUGAUGAAUUNGGAGAGGAUGGGAAUCAGGUUUUGGAAGAGNAGAAUCGUGGUGUGUGUGAUGGGUGAAAAAGUGGAGAGGUAGGAAUGGUGAGAAGGUGAGAAUGAUAUUGGUUGUUCUGUUGGAUUUGCAGGUGACAAAAGUAUGUUGUUGGGUGAUGAAAAUGUAAGAAGGUGAAGCGGGAUUGAGUUUCUCCGUUUUUCUCUUGUUUGGUGUUUCUGUAAUGGAGGAGGUAGUGAGUGAUUUGUUGCUGGGAUGAUAGGUGCAGUGGAGUGGAUGAUGGGAUGGCGUAAUGAGGCCCAGUGUGUGUGUGAUAGCCAAAAGAGGUGUGUGUGUGAAUCUGUUGGGGGUGGUUAUGGGUUAGAGGAGUAGAGUGGUGGAGAGCCUUCGAGUGUGAUGUCCUUCCUUGCCUGCCAAGACCAAACCGCCUCUGCCAAAAUCAAUCCUCGCCUCCCAAAUUUGCAUCCUUUUCCUCAGGCCAUGUUGUCCUUUUUUUCACAAACGACAAAGCCUUUUUCUUUUUCUAAUUUCCCUUUUUUUUCUUUUUCUUAACUAUAUUAAUUAUGCUAAAACAAGGCUAAAAAUAAAAAAAUAAAAAGUAAAAACAAAAUUCAAAAUAAAAUAAAAAUUAUGAAAAUAAAAGUAAAAUAAAAAUAAAAUAGAAUGAUAAAAAGGAAAUAAAAAAAAAGACAUAAAAUAAGAUAGAAUAAGAAAAUCUGUAUAUCAUUCACCCGGACGAAAUUGGGUGUUGACAGCUGCCCCUCUUUACUUAGAUAUUAGCAGAUAAUAUGAAAAUUUGAUAUUUUCGUAUUAUCAGAGUAAAAGCUAAGUAAAGAUAGAAACACUAAUUUCGUCUGGGUUUCAAAAGAGAAAGAGAAAAAGNAAAAGACCAAUCCAAGAGAGUUCGACCAUUGCUUAGCAGAGGGUCGAAAUCUCAGAAAAAGACUAAAAGUGCCAGAUAAAACUGGGCUUGGUGGGCCAGUAUAGAGACUGGGCUUGUGAUAAAUGAGGUGUACAAACCUCGUGGAAAGGGUGUACUAACCCUAUGGAUGACUGAUUUGAAGUGUACUAACCUCGCGGAAAGGGCAUACUAACCCUGUGGAUGAAUGAUGUGAGGUGUACUAACCUCGCGGAAAGGGUGUACCAACCCUACGGAUGAAUUAUGUGAGGUGUACAAACCUCGUGGAGGGUGUACAAACCCUACGGAUGAAUGAUUUGAGGUGUACGAACCUCGUGGAGGGUGUACCANNNNNNNNNNNNNNNNNNNNNNNNNNNNNNNNNNNNNNNNNNNNNNNNNNNNNNNNNNNNNNNNNNNNNNNNNNNNNNNNAUGUGAGGUGUACAAACCUCGUGGAGGGUGUACAAACCCUACGGAUGAAUUAUUUGAGGUGUACGAACCUCAUGGAGGGUGUACCAACCCUAUGGAUGAAUUAUGUGAUUGUUAGGUUCGACCAUUGUCUUACAGAGGGUCGAAACACAAAGAAAAACUUGAGCUUAGGGUGCCAGACGAGCUGGGAUUUUGAAACUUUGAAAUUUCCAGAUGAAACUGUUUUUUUUUUUAAAUUUGAAAUUGCCAGACGACACUGGGCUUUUGAAACUUUGAAAUUGCCAAAUGAAACUGUGCUUUUUUUUUAAAUUUUCAAAUUGCCAGACGACACUGGGCUUUUGAAACUUUGAAAUUGCCAGAUGAAACUGUGCUUUGGAAAUUGGCAGAUGAAACUGGGCUUUUGAAAUUUUUGGAACUUGUAGCUUUGUGAAAUGUUUUGGUGAUUUUCGACAAAAAAUUGAUUAUUGAAAAGACAUUAGGGUGUUGAAACCCUCAAUACAAUGUGUCAAAAUCUUGAUGCAGGAUCAGGGUGUCAAAACUGCAAUAUGAAAGAAACAUGAUCGACAAGAAACAACAUCACUUGAAAGAGAAAAUUUUAAUGUCAUUUUCAUUGCAUUCAUUUUUUUGUAUUUCUGAAGAAGGAUUUGAUAACCAUUCAUAUGAACGAAGGUGGUUUCGAUCCGAAAAAAUUUCUUUUUGAUGGAUGGAUGCACAUAUGAAAAGCAUUUGCUUUGUUUUGCAUUUUUUUCUUUUUCGCUUGAGUCGAUUGUCUUACUUGCAAUCAUCAAACUGGUCUUUAUUUUCAAUGUUUUGUGAAAACUGAGGAAUGUCAUGCAUCCGAGGUCUAAAAUUGAGAUUAUUACAUUUUGACUUUUUUUUUUCGACACAUCAGUGCACACAUGCUUGAAUUUGUUGGCAAGCGGAGAAAUGAGAGAUGUUUAGAAGGGUUUAGAGGAGAAUGGGAUAACUGUAUGGACAAGUCAUUCCUCAUAAUCCUCAAAGGAGAUGUGACAUGAGAAUGUCAGGGUGAACACGAGAUACACAAAGGGUGUCCCAGCUUGAUGUUACGGAAAAUGAGCUGGGGUUUGGAUCCAUGAAAGUUAGGGUGAGAAAAUUUCAAAUGAGAUUUGCAAAGCUGCCCUCAGUCUUGAGGUUAUGGAUUGAUGAAAAACUUGUGUGAGACUCACAAAGCCGCCCAAUUUUUUGUUUGCUUUUUUUUCUUUGUUUAUUGUGGUAUGGGUUGAUGAUAAACUCGGGUGAGACUCACAAAGUUGUCCCGGUUUUUUCUUUGGCAAGGGGUUCCAUUUGGAAGAGGUAUUGGACAUGAAAAGGAUCGGCAAAAAGGAUGGCCCCAAAUUAGUUUGAUUUUUCUUUUGCAUGCUUCUGGUUAGACGGAAGGGUGAUCCCCUCUUCCCAAGACAUUACUUUUUCUUCUUCUUUUUUUUUGCUUUUUUUUUCUUCUCUUCUCUUUUUUUUUACGACACAUUGAAAAUCAUUUCCCCUUAUCGCAAAGUUAAGCUUUAUGAAAAUUUUAGCAAACAUUAUCCAAUUUGCGUGGACUUUAUUAGGCUUGUAACGUGGCUAGGGGCUAAAAGGUAUUAGAAGAAAAGGUAUAAAGGCCCAAAUGAAUGUUUGUUGGUUGCCUCGACAACUUACAGGAACUGUUGACUGCCCCCACACAUCACCACGAGACUUUCCAGUGUGCUUUGUCCUCACUCACACACUUUCCGAGAAAAGUUCCUGGAAAGUCACCCAUCCCAGAAUUACCGGUAGCCUAACUCAUAAGAACUCCAUGGUUAAGCGUGCUUAGCCUAGAGUAAUAAUGGGAUGGGUGACCUUCCGGGAAGUUUUCCCGGAAAGUGUGUGAGUGAGGACAAAACACACUGGAAAGCCUCGUGUUGAUGUGUGGGGGCAGUCAGCAGUCCCUCUAAGUUGCUGGGGCGUUACAAAUGGUAUCAGAGCCUAGCCUCUCCCAGUACGGUGUGGUUCGAGGAAGAACCAGACGGAAGCUGGUGGGCAUGUGACACCCGGGCACUGACGAGGGCGGGGAGUGAUCACCGGUGCAAGAGGCAUGGUGCAGGGGGCACGGACAAGGAGCGGCUCCUGGCAGGCUUCUAGUGGAAGGGGUACAUGGACGAAUCGAACAUACACCAGAAUGAGAGCGAUCUAGAGACUGUAUAGGUAUGGGAUUAUACGGUUGAAGGAUAGCUAAAGGAAUUGAUUUGGCUACUCAUAUCAACAAAUGCAUUUGCUUUUCGGUAGCCUAACUCAUAAGAACUCCAUGGUUAAGCGUGCUUAGCCUAGAGUAAUUAUGGGAUGGGUGACCUUCUGGGAAGUUUUCUCGGAAAGUGUGUGAGUGAGGACAAAACACACUGGAAAGCCUCGUGUUGAUUUGUGGGGGCAGUCAGCAGUCCCUGUAAGUUGUCGGGGCGUUACACUUUCUGCUCAACAUCACUUUGUGAUUUUUUGUUGUUCUUUUUGUUUUGUCUUUUGUUUUUUUUUAUUCACUCUUCUUGAUGAAUUCUCUUUGUUUGACCACUGAGUGCUCUUUAUUUGCAUCAUGAGUCGACUCCUACCUGAUGACAACCCUUGCUUGGGGAUGAUUUUGAAAAAGAAUUUAUUUUUUGCUCAAACAGGGUGACAAUGGAUAUAUUUUUGCUUUUAGGUAAAGACAAGAAGGCCACACAUCAUUUUGAACUCUGAUUUCUUUAUUUUCAAAAGAUUAAUUUUGCGAUUGGAUAACAUGAGUCAUUUUUUUUUAUCUUCCCUCCUAGACUGCCCUUUCGGGUUUUCAAUCUAGUGGAGUUAUUCUUUUUUUUUUGAAAGUUUCUUUUUUGUCUCAAUGGAUUCGGGGAUCACCUUACUAGUGCAAGCAAGAAAUCUUUUGGUCAAGUCAAUCUGCCCCAAUGUAAAGGUUUGCUUUGUUACUGAGGGCGGUGACAAAGUUUGUUGGGGACGAUCCUUUAUUUUGGAAAGGUGAAGGGUGAAGGUUUUCAAGCAACAUGUGCACAAUGUUUAGAAAGGAAACGUCAAAUUGUUAUUUUUUAUUAGACAUUUGACCUCGGAAAAGUCUGACACCACAACUUUUGUUUUUGGUUUAUCAUUUUUUUGCAUUUUUUUUGCUAUUUUCGAAAAAAAAAAGUUUGAUGAUUUGCAAGAAAGACAAGUGACUCAAUAUUUUCUUCAUAUUUUUUUUUUGUUUUUUUUUUGCGAUACCCUUUCAGGACUCGAUUUCCAGUGCUACUUGGAGAAACCCUGUGGCGAAUGAUCGCAUUGUAAGUCAAGGAUGAAAGUGCGAUAUCAAUGCGCAUACUUCCCCAGUAGCAAGACACUUCUCGAUGUCAAGUUCCCUUGUACAAUGACUUGUGCUUUCUCAUGUGGUCUGAAAGUCCACUUCCUUUAUUCAUGGUGUCUGUGGAGACGUUCUCAAGCCCUGCCUUAGUGUUGGGUUGAGUUUCUUCAAACUUUAACCAUUUCUGAUCAGUCAACGAUUGCAUUCGAACUUGAACACCCAAUACUUUUGAUGGCAUGAUCGAUAGCCUCUUCGUGGUAAUCACCCUUUGUAUAUGAUGCAUCAUGAGUCUUGGAGCAUGGAGGUUUUACAGGCUUCGCGUAACAAGUAGAGACAAGGCCUUUUUGUAGCAGACUUGGAAGCAACGUUGUAUAGGUCAAAGUGAAUAGGAAUGAAUCUCGUAGGCCUUUUCUCUUGAUCAAACAUUUUUCUGCCCAGAAACUUGGUGGGAAAUUGAGUUUGGAUCUGGUUUCCAAUUUUUCUUGAAACCAUUUCAAAUGGAGAUUAAGGUAAUGGUAUUUAAGUGGGAGAAAUUGUUGAGCUCUUUCUCCUCUCCUCUUCCCAAGUGUAGACCCAAACUCGAUCACAUUUGCUAUCAUGGUAGGAUCUUGUGGGACUUUCUGUCCUCCCACCAAUUUCAAAUCUUUCUUGGAUUAACACCCUGUCAGCAAAGUUUACGGAAACACUGCUCACCAUGGUCUCAUAGAAGGGUGAUUGCAGAGUAUUUUAGGAUUGUGUCAACCAUCUCUCAUUACUAAUAAGAGACUUUCCUUGAGCAACACUCUUUUCACCUUUGGGCAUACUCUUUGAAUGAUUUUGACUCCUUUUUCAUCAUGCCCUGCGGUUGUAAUAUGUGGAGUCGACACCCAUGUUAUAUUUGAAAUGUCUCAAGAAAGCAUCCAUCAGAUCCUCCCAAAACUAGAUACACAAAUGUUCAAGAUGAAUGCCCCAAUUAGUGUCAUGCCAAUCAAACUCUCGAAAGAAAACGUCUUCAUGCAAUACAUCAUGAGAUGGCUCGUGGGACAAAUGGUUCUUUUGGGUAAUUUAAACUUUGGGAGAUGUCAUCGCCUCUGGGAUUAAGCCUAGCGUUGCAACAUUUUCAAACUCAGCGCUUCCUUCGCCUUCUAUGGCUCUCACUCUCAGUCAGCCUCGAUUUCCAUUGGUGUAACGACAUGGAGAGAAGAUUCCAUUUCAGGUUGUUUUUUCAUCGUCAUGCUCACAAUGUUUGACUAAAGCAUUUCCUUAGGUGCCAUGAAAUUGAUUGCCCCAAGCUUGUUUUCUCCUUCAACUGCGUUAUUCUCGGCCCUUUGAGUGUAAACUUGCCCAGUUCUACUCCAAAGGUGAAGUGUAAUAUGGGGAAAGGCCAUGUGAGAGGAAAUUUUGGGCCUUCCGAUCUUUGUGUUGAGGCUGGGGGCACACAAAUCUCUUGGGUUUUGUAAGGCAUUUAGGACCUCUAGGGCUUGGCUCAUUUGCCCCUUCAAUUGUUGGAUAUCAACUUUCAUCCCUUCAUUUUUGAACUUCUCCUUGGUUCUCCAAGAUUUGGAAACUGGUUCGAGUCCUUUAGGGUAUCAUGGUUUUUUUUUUGAAAUCUUAUUAGAUGAAACAAAGAGAGAAAAAGAAAAUAAAGAUGAAAAGAAAAAGACAAAUUUCGAAAUUAACACGAAACAGAGUCAAUAGGGCAGCCCAUCAUUCAGAAGUUCCCAAGAUGUGAGUCAUAAGAAGUCUUAGUCAACUAUCUCGGGCCUUGGCCAUCACCUUCUUCAUUUCUCCGAUCAAUUCUUACAGCAAUUGAGGAAAGUUUCAACCCCUUAUGCAGGUUAAAUAUCGACACUGCAAACUCAGCNUCAGCUAAUAGCUUAGGGAUGUAUUCAAUGACUUCAUUGGCAAGGGAAGCUAGUUGUGAGAAACUUCUUUUUCAAUUCUUUGUAAUUCGCCCUUAUUCAACAACAUGCUCACUUGCAUCUGAGUCAUCAAUUCUCAAUGUCUUCUUUUUAGCUCAAUGCCAACACUCCUUCAGUUUUGCCACUACUGCUUUCACACGCUGCUCAGCACCGUGAAAUUGUUUUUCACAAUUCGGGUAAGGAGAAAUUAACUUGAAUGACAACUUGAUUGUCUUGACCCUUUCUGCGACUCAUUGGCUAAAGGAAUGUUUCAUUGACAGUCCAUGAUCUUGGACCUUUCUACGAAGCGAACAACAUUGCCCCCAAGCGUUCUUAACUUGAUGAAACAUUUCAGCAAAGAUUCAUUCUUCAUAUGAUCUGCAAUGUGUCAAGAGAUGCGGGCGUUGGUGACCCUCUCACAGGAUACCCAAAUUGUUUUUUUUCUUUUCCUUUUUUUUUGUAUUUUGUUUUUUUUUUGUUUUGUUUUUUUUUUUGUUGACACAUGCACAACACUGGAUACCCAUGAGGGGACAUCAAGAUAGCUCCUGCAAUGGUGUAUGAUACACGAUCUUUGCUGCCAAGAAAAUAAGCCAUUUAAACUUUUCCUCUUCUGAGCCCACACAAAGCUGCAUUCGUUCAUUUGCCCCUUUCAUCUUUGGUUUACAAUGCAGUAGUUCACUAAGGGGACAUGUGGCAUUCAAAGCGUCCUUAUUCGUGCGAGAAAUGAAGCAUACAUACAACAUUGGUAAACACCUAACAUCUUCCUGACCUUUAACUCAUGACACUGAUUAAGAGUCCCAUAAAUUCCAGUUAGGACAACCGAUACUGGAUGCUCAGAGCAAACUUUUUAUCCUGCAAAUGCAUUCAUGGCAGCACAGUCGACCAACUCCCUGGUAUUAGGAAAAAGCAUGACACCAUAGUGGAUAACAGCUAUUACAUUCAUGAAUGUUUCCUAAAUUUCCUCCUUGGUUAAUCAAUGCAAAAACCACUCUAGGCAUUCUUAAGCUAGUAUGAAUUUGCUUUCCAACUUUAUAGGGUGCAUUUUCGUGACUCUCAUUAGCUGCAAGACAGGGGUAUAUUGCCCAAGGUGAUUGUUUGGGUCUUUGCCCUUAAGAAAUGCAUCUAAGAUCAACUCAAAUUCUUCUACUGUAGGCACCAAUUGGAAAUGGGUCAUAGUGCUGGGCUAACACAAUAAUUUUUUUGUUGCCCGAACCUCCACCUCCGACAGGAUCAACAAAUUCCCAUGCUCCUUCCUGAAUGCAUUUUUCAAGGUUAUCCUUCUUUCACCAGAUCCCUCAAGUGACCGAUGUUUCCCCCCUUGGCCUCAAUGGGUAUGCUUUUCUUGAAAAAGUCUAAACUCAAAUGCCCUUUGACUCAAAAUCCCAUGUUAAUUUCCAUUUUUACCGUAAUCACGACUUUAUAAUUUCUUGACUAGAACCCAUAGAAUUUGACAAGGCCAUAAACAUGAGCAACAAAGAAAGAAAAAGAAUGUAGUGAUAUGCACAAGGUGCUUGAUUUUAUUAAGCAAAAAAUGAGGGUUACAAGAUUGCACACAUUUCCCUUUGUGCCCUGACGGAGGUUCGACGCUUUAGAUUCAAGGUCAAGUAUAUGCAAUCUCACCAGGAUAGUUCCCUGAGCCUAAGGAUUAAUGGUCACUAGAGCUAUGGCCCCCUCCACAGCAUUUCCACAACAGUCGAGUAAUCAACUAGGUGUGAAAAUACAAAUGAAGAGAACAAACUCUAGUUGGGGUUCUCACGACAACCAAACAGGCAGUAUGGCCCAAGUGGCACCGCUACACAACCCCUCUAUUUCUAAGCUGCACUCAGACCCGGGUAUAGGGCCUCACUCAAUAGAUGCAUAAUAUGUGUGUGUGUGUGUGUGAAGGGAGAAUGAAAUGCACCCAAACCCUCACCUGCAAAACAACCAGAAGAUUCCCAGGCAUAUAUAAACAUGUUUUCUACCCUAGGGUUCAAUAUCCAACAAUUCACAUGCAGUUAUUCCAAAUAUCAAGCAUAGAUAAAGAAAAGGGAAAGAGAAACACAAAGCAAAACCACAUUGAAUUCGCGCAUCUAAUUAAAUGGCCUGACUCUCUAGGGUUAUCGCCAGUGGAGUCGCCAUCUGUCGCAACCGGAAAAUCGCGACGGGACAACGAUCCAAAAAAGAAAAUAAUUUUUUUUGAAAAAAAGAUUUGGAGUCGCCACCAUAGUUUAUUCUGGAAAACUACGGAAAAACCAUAAAAGAUAAGGCUAGGUCUACAAAACCAAAUUCUGGUUUCGGAAGUCGGUUACGCGUGGGGAAGGUGUUAGCACCCCACAACGCCUGCCCUAAGGCAGUACCUUUAAUUAAAUGCGCAAACUUGAUGUGGUUUUUCAAAAUGUUUAAUUUUCCCUAAAAAUAAAACUCUAAAGAAAAAAAAAUAUUUUUUUAUUUUUUGUGUGCCCGACAAGGAUUGACCUUGCUCUUACGUAUUCUCAGUUGGACUGAGAAAUCAGGGUUACGUAGUUCUUUAGGAAACUAUUUGGAAAAUUUGUUUGAGAAAUUUGUUUGAAAAAAGAUUUGAAAUUUUUUGGAUUUUUGGAAAGUGAACCUGACAAGGACUAGCCUUGCUCCUACGUGUCUCCACUUUGGAUGGAGAAUUAAGGAUCACGUAGCUCUGGCGAAAAGAUUGAUUGUUUAUUUGUCAAGAUGUUUUUAGGUUUUGAAGAUUUUAUAUUUUUUUGGUAUUUUUAUAGAAAAAAGGAAAAGGUUUUCAGCACAACGCUGACAGAAUGGUCGCACGUGUGCUUAAACCUUUUAAAAUAAUUUUUUGUUGAUUUUUGAAAAAAAGAAGAAAGAGGUUUUCAGCACAAGGCCAACAGAAUUGUCGCACGUGUGCUUAAACCUUUUAAAAUAAUUUUUUUGAUUUUUUACGGAGGAAGAAAAAGGUUUUUAGCACAAGGCAGACAGAAUGGUCACACUUGUGCUUAAACCUGUCAAAAUAAUUUUUUUGUUGAUUUUUUUUGAAAGAAGAAGAAAAAGGUUUUCAGCACAAGGCAGACAGAAUGGUCGCACGUGCGCUUAACCCUUUUAAAAAUAAAUUUUUGUAAGAAGAAGAAAAAGGUUUUCGGCACAAGGCAGACAGAAUGGUCGCACGUGUGCUUAAACCUUUCAAAAUAAGUUCUUGUUGACUUUUUUUUGAAAAAAGAAGAAAAAGGUUUUCAGCACAAGGCAGACAGAAUGGUCGCACGUGUGCUUAAACCUUUUAAAACAAUUUAUGAUUUUUUUAAAGAGGAAGAAAAAGGUUUUUAGCACAAGGCAGACAAAAUGGUCGCACUUGUACUUAAACCCUUUAAAACAAAUUUUUGUUGUUUUAUUUUUUAUGAUUUUUAUAUUUUUUGUUAUUUUUUAUCCUUUUAUUUAUUAUUUUUUAUUAACAAAUAAGUAUAACAAACAAAUAAUAAUAAAAUAAAUUCUAAAGCUAAAGAAAUAAAAGCAAAAAAUAAAAAAUAAAAUAAAAUAAAAUAAAUAAAAUAAAAACAUUACAAACCAAUAAGCCCAAUAAGAAUAGGGAUGUAGAGAUGAAAAACCAGGGGUGCAACUCAAACAGUCAAGCCCAGGUCCAGUAACGUAGGGGUGNNUGNNNNANNNNNNNNGGGGGGGNGNAGCNUGAGAUAGCAUGCUCCGGUCCAAUCCUCCUUUCUUGGUUUGCAGGCAUGGAGUGUAGGUGCAAAUAACAUUGUGCGUGGUGGCANGAGAAGAGAAUGCGGCCCAAUAAGCCCAAGACCCUUUGCUCCAAAUCAGAACAGUAGGGGUUCCAGCGUAUGAAAAUUGGGGUGCUUUUGGUAGUUGCUGGUCAGGCCCAAGACCCUUUUUUGUUAGUUUGCAGAAACAGGAUGGGCCAUAGCCCAAAUGGAAAGGGGGUGUAACAGUGAGAUUUAGGGGUGGGGUGCCACUGGAUAUUUUGUUGAGAUGGCCCAAGGCCUCUUUUAUUGUUUGCCAGAAAGGGAAUGGAGGUGCGAAUAGCAAACGAGGGGUGCAAGGAAGAAACUCCAGCCACUAGCCAGGCCCAAGGCCAUUUAACCCUAACAGAAACUGAUAGGGGUUCCUCCAAUUUCAUUCCAUUUCAUCACCUAGGGCUUCUUUCCCUCUGAACGAAAGAAGCCAGAGACCUAACCCCCACUGCUCACAGCCAAGACUUAGCUUCCGGCCACCGCGAACUGUGGUCCAUAGCGUCGCCGACCACGACCCUCGUCGCUUGAGCCACCAAUUCGAGGCCGUCGUCCUCCGUCGAGCUGGCCGCCACUAGAUGCAGCCUAAAACCUGUCAGUGCCGAGGGCCGCCGCCACAGACUCCGCCAAACGUCGCGCCAAUCUCUCAUCCUUCCCCUUUCUGCGAGAAUAGCCACUCACCGAGCUAACGACGUCUCACCGGAAACAAAACCCAGGGGAACAAUUUCCCUCAUCAAACUCCGAUACGGCGUGGCUCGAAAGCGAGAGUCUCCCUUUCGUCUCCCUCUCUUAUUCGAAAUCCAAAUCAACACCACAAAUAAAAACAGACAAUGUCGCCGACUCUCACCCUGUUUCUGUGCAUUGAUUGAGUUUGGGUUUUUUUUUUUUGGAUUUUUGGUUAUGAAUAUGUGUUGGAAGAAAAUGGGUAUUGGUCUCUCUUUUUGGUAGUGUUGCUUAUUGAAGGAUGAAGUUGGAGUUGGAGGUAAGAAUGGGAUUCUGUUGUGUGUGAUCUGCGUGAGUUUCUGCUGUUAGAAACGAAAGGUGAGGGAGGAGCUUCUGGUUGUAUGCGCUGGUUGCAAGAGUAGGAGGUGAUGGAGGAAAUUGGUUCCAAAAAGGGUGACACUGUUGAGUUGAUAAGAUGUAAUAUGUGAGUGAGAGGUUGAUGAUGGAUGAUGGAAGAAUCGGUGGGAGAAUCCCAUUUUUUAUGCUNGAGAAAACAGUUUUGGAGAAAGUGAUUCUGUUGAGUGAGUAGUGAUUUUGAUUGUGAGAAUUUGGUUUUGUGAGUGAACCCGNUAGGGAUAGGCCAUGAAGCUUGGGAUUGGAAGAUGAAUUUGUCGAAGAUGAUGAAUUNGGAGAGGAUGGGAAUCAGGUUUUGGAAGAGNAGAAUCGUGGUGUGUGUGAUGGGUGAAAAAGUGGAGAGGUAGGAAUGGUGAGAAGGUGAGAAUGAUAUUGGUUGUUCUGUUGGAUUUGCAGGUGACAAAAGUAUGUUGUUGGGUGAUGAAAAUGUAAGGAGGUGAAGCGGGAUUGAGUUUCUCCAUUUUUCUCUUGUUUGGUGUUUCUGUAAUGGAGGAGGUAGUGAGUGAUUUGUUGCUGGGAUGAUAGGUGCAGUGGAGUGGAUGAUGGGAUGGCGUAAUGAGGCGCGGUGUGUGUGUGAUAGCCAAAAGGGGUGUGUGUGUGAAUCUGUUGGGGGUGGUUAUGGGUUAGAGGAGCAGAGUGGUGGAGAGCCUUCGAGUGUGGUGUCCUUCCUUGCUUGCCAAGACCAAACCGCCUCUGCCAAAAUCAAUCCUCGCCUCCCAAAUUUGCAUCCUUUUCCUCAGGCCAUGUUGUCCUUUUUUUCACAAACGACAAAGCCUUUUUCUUUUUCUAAUUUCCCCUUUUUUUUCUUUUUCUUAAUUAUAUUAAUUAUGCUAAAACAAAGCUAAAAAUAAAAAAAAUAAAAAGUAAAAACAAAAUUCAAAAUAAAAAUAAAAAUUAUGAAAAUAAAAGUAAAAUAAAAGUAAAAUAGAAUGAUAAAAAGGAAAUAAAAAAAAGACAUAAAAUAAGAUAGAAUAAGAAAAUUUGUAUAUCAUUCACCGGACGAAAUUGGGUGUUGACAAAUACAGAAUAAAAACGGUCGGUCAUUAACUCAAUUACUAUGCUUCCAAUCCCAGAUUAAAGACAAGUACACACUACUCUAAUCCAAAUCCAACACGAAUCACCCAACUAAGCGAAGGCUGAUUCGGUCUUCAGAAUUGCAGACUAAGCAAAUGCAAUGCUCAAAUCCAAUCAAUCGUGCACCACACAGUCUAAUCAACUAAGCGAAGAUUAAGCACCGAUUUGACAACUAAGCGUAUACCUAAUCGCAGGCACACAACAAAUUAAAUAUUGAGCAAAUCGGAGCAGCACCAAAAUAUAAUUAUAGUCCGGGAAUCUCAAGGAAACAAAGAAAUAUCGCUAAUGACCAACCAACUAACUUAAGCUAACAUUAAAACUAAAUUAUAGAAAAAUUGUGUGACUCACUUGAAAAGCAAUUGAUAAAUCUGAAAACACAUCAGAACAUGGAAAUAAAAUUGAAAUACCAAAGAAAACGAGUAAACAAAUGGAGUGCAACAAUUAAGCUAAUAAAGAAAAGACACAUAAUCAACUAAAUUGAACACAUCCAUUGAAGAGCUAAAAUAAAGUAAAUAAAAUAAAAAGCAUGACCACUAACUAUAAUAUAAAAAUGCACGACUCAUUAAAGGAUGAAACACUGGAUAAAAAAAUAAAAAUAAAAAACUAUCAAUGCAAGACAUCGUAAAUGCAACUAAUAAGCCUAAGACAAGAAAUGUUGAUUGUUACAUGCAAAUCCAUCACCGAAAAAUACUAAAAAG